rnacentral:lncRNA from 1 species
AUCAGCAUGACACUGGUACUGAUCCUCUGGAUCGGCCAAGCACCCGGGAGAUCUGGAUGGGGCCACCAGUGACAGGAGCGUGCCUCAAGACAAAACAAGUCCCUGGGUUUGCCAGAUGCUAACAUCUGUCCACACAGAGCAAGAUGGAGUGUCACUCAGUCACCAGGCUGGAGUGCAGUGGGGCGACCUUGGCUCACUGCAACCUCUGCCUCCUGGGUUCAAGCGAUUCUCCUGCCUCAGCCUCCCAAGUAACUGUGACUACAGGCCUGCACCACCACACCCAGCUAAUUUUUGUAUUUUUAGUAGAGACAGGUUUCACCACGUUGGCCAGGAUUGUCUCAAACUCCUGACCUCAUGAUCCACCCGCCUCAGCCUUCCAAAGUGCUGGGAUUACAGGCAUGAUCUGAUGAUUUUAUAAAGGGGAGUUCUCUUGCACAAGCUGUCUUGCCUGCUGCCAUGUUAAGACAUGACUUUGCUCCUCCUUCGCCUUCCACCAUUGUUGUGAGGCCUCCUCAACCAUGUGGAACUGUGAGUCAAUUAAACUUCUUUCCUUUAUAAAU